UGGCCAUCAUCUCGAGUCACUGAAGUGUUGUCAACCACUUAGAAAUACACAGCCGGUAGAAAACUCCUCCACUCUGGACACUUUGAAGGCUUCUGUCUGAUCUACCCUGUGAAGGAUAGAUCUCCUGAGCACCUGCCAAGCCCAGGAUGGGUUGGGACUAUCUCAAGAGGCAUCACUCGCCCACCCCUGUCCCCUGAACAGUGUCACACCUUCAUUCUUUCCUUAAGCAAGCAUCCUGCUCCAGGGUACAGGGUUGAAUGAGACACAGUCCCUGCCCCCAAGGUACUCUCCUGCCCUUCUAGAAUGAUCCAGAGGAGCUGCCCAGGUGAGUGACCUCAUGGCAUGACAUCAUGGGAAUCUGCCCAAUCUUAUUCAAUUUACUCAACAAAUAUUUGUUGAGCUCCUAGUGUUUGCCAAGAACUGUGCUGGGUGCUAGGAUAGAAGAGCUGAAGGAGCUCGCUGCUCAGGGGAAGACAGAUAAAUAAAUAGGCGGUCACAACUCAGUGUGAUAAGAGCUAAAAUGGGUGAGAGUGCUGGACCUGGGAUGUUUUAAGUUUCUGGGCUCUGCCUCCCGCCUGCUUUAUUAACCAGGGCAUUUCUGUUACAUUCCAAGGAAUGCAAAGUCAGUUGUCAUGGCAUUCACACAAGACUCUUGAGAGCUACCUUGACCUCCCUUCAGACCAGCUGGUAGAGUUACGGAGGGUAUCAGCUGGGGAGGUGAGUGAUGGGCGAACACGUGGUUCAGAGUUCAAAGAGGUGAGGGG
rnacentral:lncRNA from 1 species